UGAGGAACAUGACCUUCGGCGGGGGAUAGCCGGCCCAACGGCCGGGUAAUACCGCGUACGACCACUUUGGGACAUCCCUAGGUGGUGAAAGCAGCAAUGCGCCGAUGGAGUGCCUCGCGGCCUAUCAGCUAGUUGGUGAGGUAACGGCUCACCAAGGCGACGACGGGUAGCUGGUCUGAGAGGAUGGCCAGCCACAGUUGGGACUGAGACACGGCCCAGACUCCGUACGGGAGCAG
rnacentral:rRNA from 1 species